rnacentral:tRNA from 1 species
AGAAACUUAGGAUAUGUUUAAACCCGAGGCCUUCAAAGCCCCAAAAAAGAGAUUAACCUCUUAGUUUCUG